GACGAACGCUGGCGGCGUGCUUAACACAUGCAAGUCGAACGGAAAGGCCCUGCUUUUGUGGGGUGCUCGAGUGGCGAACGGGUGAGUAACACGUGAGUAACCUGCCCUUGACUUUGGGAUAACUUCAGGAAACUGGGGCUAAUACCGGAUAGGAGCUCCUGCUGCAUGGUGGGGGUUGGAAAGUUUCGGCGGUUGGGGAUGGACUCGCGGCUUAUCAGCUUGUUGGUGGGGUAGUGGCUUACCAAGGCUUUGACGGGUAGCCGGCCUGAGAGGGUGACCGGCCACAUUGGGACUGAGAUAGCGCCCAUACGCCUACGGGAGGCAGCGGUGAGAGAUAGUGCACGAUGGGCGGAAUCCGGAUGCAGCAACGCCGCGUGCGGGAUCACGGCCGGCAGGGUGUAAACCGCGUGCGCCUGUAACGAAGCGUGAGUGACGGUAAUUAGUAAAAAAGGGCCGGCUAACUACGUG
rnacentral:rRNA from 1 species